UGGGAAUAUUGGACAAUGGGGGCAACCCUGAUCCAGCCACGCCGCGUGAGUGAUGAAGGCCUUAGGGUUGUAAAGCUCUUUCGCCGGUGAAGAUAAUGACGGUAACCGGAGAAGAAGCCCCGGCUAACUUCGUGCCAGCAGCCACGGUAAUACGAAGGGGGCUAGCGUUGUUCGGAAUUACUGGGCGUAAAGCGCACGUAGGCGGACGUUUAAGUCGGGGGUGAAAUCCCAGGGCUCAACCCUGGAACUGCCUCCGAUACUGGGCAUCUGGAGUCCGAGAGAGGUGAGUGGAAUUCCGAGUGUAGAGGUGAAAUUCGUAGAUAUUCGGAAGAACACCAGUGGCGAAGGCGGCUCACUGGCUCGGAACUGACGCUGAGGUGCGAAAGCGUGGGGAGCAAACAGGAUUAGAUACCAUGGUAGUCCACGCCGUAAACGAUGGGUGCUAGCCGUUGGCCAGCUUGCUGGUCCGUGGCGCCGCUAACGCAUUAAGCACCCCGCCUGGGGAGUACGGUCGCAAGAUUAAAACUUAAAGGAAUUGACGGGGUCAUAGCUGUUUCCU
rnacentral:rRNA from 1 species